rnacentral:rRNA from 1 species
UGGGGAAUCUUGCACAAUGGGCGAAAGCCUGAUGCAGCGACGCCGCGUGCGGGAUGAAGGCCUUCGGGUUGUAAACCGCUUUCAGCAGGGACGAGGCCGCAAGGUGACGGUACCUGCAGAAGAAGCCCCGGCUAACUACGUGCCAGCAGCCGCGGUAAUACGUAGGGGGCAAGCGUUAUCCGGAGUCAUUGGGCGUAAAGCGCGCGUAGGCGGUUUGUUAGGUCAGGAGGUAAAUCUGGGGGCUCAACCCCUAUCCGCUCCUGAUACCGGCAGGCUUGAGUCUGGUAGGGGAAGGCGGAAUUCCAAGUGUAGCGGUGAAAUGCGCAGAUAUUUGGAAGAACACCGGUGGCGAAGGCGGCCUUCUGGGCCACGACUGACGCUGAGGCGCGAAAGCUAGGGGAGCGAACAGG